rnacentral:lncRNA from 1 species
GGGCGCAGGCCCGGGAUAGGAGGCAGAGCGCAAGGGGCGGGGGUGGCGUGGAGGGGGUGCCUGCCGGCGGUCAACCCCGCUGUAGCGGGGUUGUCAUGUCUCGCCAGACGAAGGAUGACUUUCUACGGCAUUAUACGGUCUCCGACCCCAGGACCCAUGCCAAGGGCUACACCGAGUACAAAGUAACCGCGCAGGUGAGGUGGGGCCCAGCGGGGACCUUACCCUUUUAAGUAGCCAGGGGGUUGUGCUUUACCUUAAGGGAAGGCGCUGUAGGAAGCUCCUUUUUUAGACGACAGAAAUGGGUUUCCCCUUUAAGGAAAGCCUGUGGUGGGCGCUGACGUUGACUUCUUUCACCAUCGGGGGCGGGGCCGUGGAAGGGCGUGGUCCUCUUUAAAAGGGCGUGGACACAGUUCCCGGACUUGUGAGGUGCGUGUGCCCACGCCCGACGCUUGCAGCCUGUGCCUCCGUCUGUGAGAUUCUCAGACGUGAAAACUCUGGCUUAACCCAAACGUUAGUUAGUUUCCCAAUUUGGGGGUAAGUUUCAUUUAUUGGUUUGUUGGAUACCUAAAAACCCUUUAAAGAGUUUAUUUCUUAAAAAAAUUAAUACAGGUCUAUGGUUUAAAAAAUUCACAAUUCAAAAGGACUUGAAUCUUCACGGUCAUCGCAGGAAGAGGAUAGGUAAAGGCCAUAGUGGAUGUUGGAAGCAAUAUUAUAAGCACAUUUUAUAGAGACAUGGAGAAAACCAUGAAAAGAAUUUAAGAUAAAACGGCAUAAGAGACUGCCUGUAGAAUGAUUUGUAAGAACCGGUAAUAAUGGAGACCUCCAGGGAAAGUCUCUGGGGAAGGGGGUUGAGGAAGGACUUUUUUAGUGGGUUUUUUUGUUUGUUUUGUUUUGUUUUUUGCUAGGGAUUGAACCCAGGGGCAACACUCUAACACUGAGCUACAUCUCCAGCCCUUUUUAUUUUGAGAAAGGGCCUCACUAAAUUGCUGAGGCUGGCCUUGAACUUGUGAUCCACCUGCCUCAGCCUCCUGAGUCAGACGUGUGUCACAGCAUCCAGUUUAGCGUUCGUAUUUUAUACUCUUAGAAUUUUGGCAACAGGCAACUACUAAAUGCAGAAUCCUAGAUGUUUUUAAAAUAUGCUUUCCCCAAAUCUUUUAUGUCAUUCCCAUGCCAAAAAACUACAAAUAAAGAGAUUGCCCCUGGUAGAUGGGCAGGAGGGGUAGGGGGGUAGAAAGGAUGUGGCCUUCUUCUGCAACCUUUGCCUACAUGCCUCCUACUGACUUUUUAAACCAAGUAACAUUUAUUAUUUGAGAUAGUUGGGAUGGGUCUAUAGUUUUUUGUGGAUUGGGGUGUUUUUGUUUUGUGCUUUCCAGUAAUGCAGAUUGACCCCAGGACAUUGUGUGUGCUAGACAAGCCCUCUGUCAUCAAGCUACAUCUCCAACCCUACUUUGAUAUAUUUUUAUAAAUAUAUCAAAAAAAUCUUUUAUAAAGAUAAAUUUUGCCUACUUGCUAUCCCCAUGUCUCUGUUGCUACCAGUUUGUUGAUCCUUGAAAAUAACUACAUUUACAAGCAAAUUAACGUGUCUACUUUAGUAGUAUUAUUUACACACAAUGGAGUUGCGCUUCUGACUCUUUUUGCUUACUGGUGUUUCUAAGUGAGUUUUUGUGUUUUAUUUUACUUUAAAAUUUUUUAAGAUUGCAAAUAAAAGCAUUCUGACUCAUUUUUAUUAUCAAAAAAAAUAUUAAAUUGAGACACAGUUUACAUAAAUGAGCUCAGUCUUCAAUGUACAGCCUAAUCAAAUUUCACUAAAAGUAUAAUGUGUGCAAACACCACUCAGAUGGAGAGAGACAUUUUCAUGACUCCAGAAAAUUUCUUUUCAUCUCUCCAAUCACUGGUCACCCUCUCGAAGAGAUCACUAUACUCAUCUGAUUUCUGUCACCAUUGAUGAAUUUGGUUUGUUCUUGAAUCUCAUAUGAAUGAAGCAAUGAAACAAAUAUUCUUUUGUGUUUGACUUUUUUAACUCAACAUAAUAUUUUUGGAAUUCGUCCAGGGCUUUGCACAUGCUGAUCAAGUGUUCUACCAAGUUAAAUCCCUGCCUUUUUUAUUUUUUUGGUACCAGGGGAUGAACCCGGGGCGCUUGAGCACUGAACCACAUCCUCAGUCCUUUUUAUUGUUUAUUUUGAGACAUAGCUGGCCUUGAGCUUAUGAUUCUUCUCCCUCAGCCUCCUCAGUCACGGGAAUUAUAAGCAUGCACCACGACACACGGCCCCAGCCCUUUUUAUAUUUUGAGACAGUGUCUCCCUAAAUUGCUGAGGCUAGCCUCAAACUUUCAAUCCUCCUGCCUCAGCCUCUUGAGUCAAAAGGAUUACAGGUGUGCAUCACUACACCUGGCUCACCAUUUCUUUAUUACUUAUGUUGAAUAUUUUGUUUUUUUCUUAAACGUUUUUUUAGUUGUUAAAUUGUAUGAACUCUCAUGUACAAAAUUUUUUUCUGGACAUAUCUGCUCAUUUCUCUUUGGGAUACACAUAGGAAUGGUACUGCUGGCGUGUAAGAUAGGUAUACGUCUAGCUUUACUAGAAAUUGCCAGAAAGUUUUCCAAAGUAGUUGCCCAUGUCAUGCAUCCCUUAUCACCUGCACUGGAAAUCAACAGGAUCUUUAAUUUUAGUUAUUCUUGGUAUGUAUUUGGAGUAUUAAUUUGCAUUUCUCUAAUGAGUUGAUAUUGAGCACAUUCUCAUAAUAAUCUUACAGGUCUUUUUUGUGGGAGGUGCCUGUUCAAGUAUUUUGCUCACUUUUUUCAAGCUAAUUUUGCCAUAUUUAUUCAUACCAAAUCACACUGUGUUGACAGGUAAUGAUUGAAUACAGAUACAGGCUGUCAGGAAAAGGGGAGGAGAAAGGGAGCCCUUAAAAUAGGGGGUGGGGUUGCGGCUCAGUGGUGGGGCGCUUGGCUGUGUGUGCAAGCUGUGAGCAUUUUGAGCGCUUGAGCUGACUGGACUGUGUGUACGUGUGUGUCCUUUUCACUAGCUCUGCCUUUUGAUCCCACUCAGCACCUGAGAUGGGCGUGGACUUCCAAGAUGUAAGUUAAUCUGCUGACCAUAAGACAUCUGGAAGCUAGACUCCACCCCCUGAAACCUAACCCCCCACACCAUUGGGGUGGAAAAAGGGGCUUUAGAAGUCCUCCUUCUCUUUCUCUCUCUCUCUUUUUUUUUUUUUGUGUGUGUGUGUGUGGUGCUGGGGAUUGAACCCAUGGCCUUGUACAUGCGAGGCAAGUACUCUACCAACUGAGCUAUAUCCCCAGCCCCCUCUCUUUCUUUAUUUCUGCCUCCCUAGUGGGAGCUGGAGCUGGGGAGCCAUCGCUGAAGAAUCACGAGAAAGAGGUAUUUUCCCUCUAGGUGUGGUUACUUCGUGCCAGCCCACAUUCACCUGGAGUGAACCUGAACGACUGACUUAGUUGUGUGUUGUGGCAACUGGGUUUCAUUCUCAGCCCUGCAUAUAAAUAAAUAAAAUAAAGGUUCAUCAACAGCUAAAAAAAAUUUUUUUUAAUAGGAUAAAAUGGCUGGGUAUGGUGGCACAUGUCUGUAAUUUCAGCAGCUCCGGAGGCUGAGGCAGGAGGAUCACAAAUUCUAAGCCAGCCUCAGCAACUUGGCCAGGGACUGAGCAACUUAUCAAAACCCUCUCUCUAAAUAAAAUGUAUAAAAUAAAAAGGAUGGGAUAUGACUCAGUGGUUAAGUGUUCAAUCCCUGAUACCCCCCCCCCCACAAAAAAAGGAUUAGGGCUCAGUGGUAGAACACUUGCCUAGCACAUGUGAGGCACUGGGUUCGAUUCUCAGCACCACAUAUAAGCAAAUAAGUGAAAUAAAGGUCCAUCAACAACUAAAAAAAAUUAAAAAACAACAACAACAACAAAAAAAAGAUUAAACACCAGGCCUUCUGAAAAGCAAUAAGGAGCCUCUUUCCAGAGGCUGCUCUCAGGUGACACUCAUGGAACUGCUGCAUCUUUAAAUUAAAGUCCUACAUUAAAUACGAAUUAUGUCAAAGUCACAUUUCUGAGUACCAUCCUUUGAGAAUGACUCCCACCAGGGAGGCAGAAAUAAAGAGAGGGAGGACAUUCUAAAGUCCCUUUUUCCUCCCCAAGUUCGUGGUCUUAAAGCAGCUUUCACAUGUUGUUAGUUAUCUUCUGAACUGUGAGACAGGUACUCUUUUCUCAACUAUUGAUGUGGAAACUGAGGCUUACAGAUAUUAAGUGACUUGGCCAUAUUUUGCUCAUUUUUUAAAAAUUGAGUUGUCUUAACAUUGAUUUUGUAGAGGGCCUUUAUAUUUUCUGGAUUUGAGUCCUUUAUCAGGUAUAUAUUCCUAUUUUUUUGGGGGGGGGGUACUAAGGAUUGAACCCAGGGGGUAUCCCUCAAGGGUUUUUAAAUAUGGGCUUUGGGUUUGGUUUGGUUUUGCCAUGUUUUAGGCAGGUCAGUUGUCAGAAGCCAAGGCCCGGUUUUCGUCUCAGCGCUCCCUUGCAGGCCAUCCCCCUCUCUGAGCCUCCAUGAUUUCAUCUUUUAAAUAGCAUGUCAAUGUGCCCCACUGCGAUCUAGGAGAAGGAAUAAGAAGCGUUUUAAAAACCGUCAGGUGCUGGGCUGGGGCUGGGCUCAGAGGAGGAGCACUCACCUAGCAUGCAUGAGGCACUCGGUUCGAUCCUCAGCACCCCAUAAAAAUAAAAGGUAUCAAGGGAAAAAAAACCUGUCAAGUGCUGCAAACUGUGGGACAUUAUUUUUAAAUGAUUAUGAACAUAACUUAAAACUGAAUCUUCUUGUCAGCUCAGACCCAACUCUGCACUUCGAGGGUCACCAGCCUCAGAGGUGGCUUCUUCUGUGACUGGGGGUGUUGGAACGCAGAGGAUGGGACUGGCUCCUGGCACACACAUCUCCCUCCCUCCCUCCCUCCCUCCCUCCCUCCCUUCCUCCCUUCCUUCCUUCCUUCCUUCCUUCCUUCCUUCCUUUCGGUCUCCUUUUUCAAUGCUGGGGAUUGAACCUAGGGCCAGGUGCAAGCUAGGCGGGCGCUAUUACCACUGAUCUACAUCCCCAGCCCUUUUAAGAUUUUUUUUCUUUUAGAGACAGGGUCUCCCUAAGUUGCCCAGGCUGGCUUUGAACUUGGGAUCCUCCUGCUUCAGCUGCCCCAGUGGCUGGGAUUAUAGGACGUGCCACCACAUUCAGCACAGCCUCAUUUCUUCAGAGGUUCGGGGUUCUUUGGUUUCGGGAGAUACAGAGACUUGGCCUCUGAAGGCACAGGUUGAGAGCUGAACAGAGGAUGGUGCAGUCUGGAGAGGCUUUAGGGAUCCUCCCAUUUGAAGGAUGAAGGAACUAAGGCAUGCAGAAGAAAAAUUGCUCAAAAUUACACUAAAGCCUUAACUUCAGGAUGCCUUAGUGGCUGAAGGACAUCUCCCUUUGAGGAGGACUGAGAGGUCCCUGGUGCCUCCUCAGCUGCUACAGUUUGGUGGGGUGUCAGAUGUCUGUCUCUCAUCUCAUGUGGUUCUUGCCUUUACUUUCUCAGUUCAUCUCAAAAAAGGACCCAGAGGAUGUCAAAGAGGUGAGAAUCGGGGGUGGCAGGGGGACCGUUCCCCAAUUCCCCAGUUCCAGAUCUGGAAGCAGUAGGGUUAUAGAUAACUGUGAGGAGCUGGGCCCUUCCUCCCUGGCCCCUAGUGGUUGGGAUGCUGUCUUCUCCUCACAGGCCCUGGGGCAGACUGGGUGGGGGGAAGGCUACUGCCCACCUUGCUGGCCAGGUUAAGUCUCAUGCCCCUCCUAGGUGGUGGUCUGGAAGCGGUACAGUGACUUCCGCAAGCUGCAUGGGGACCUGGCCUACACCCACCGCAACCUCUUCCGCCGCCUGGAGGAGUUCCCAUCCUUCCCCCGUGCCCAGGUGUUUGGUGAGUGUCAGAUCUGAGCUCUCGGCCCAGGACAGGAGAGUUGGGCAAAGGGGGCCAUUGGCCCUUGGCUGGGCGAUGGCUAGAGAGAUGGGGCCCAGAACUAUAGGCAAAGACAUUUGGAGAGCUGGGUGGAUCCUCUGAAGGGAAAUGGAGGCUCAGAGAAGCCUAGCCCUUGUUGUGAGUUGGGCCCUUUAACAUUCCUACCCCCCUCUCUCUCUCUCUCUCUCUCUCUCUCUCUCUCUCUCUCUCGCUCUCUCUCUCUCUUUUUUUUUGUACUGGGGAUUAAACCCCAGAGAGCCUUACCACUGAGCUACAUCCCCAGCCCUUUGUAUUUUUUAUUUUGAGACAGAAUCUUUCUUAGUUGCCAAGGCUAUCGUCAAAUUUGCAAUUCUCCUGCCUCAGCCUCCCAUAUCACUAGGAUUGCAAGUGUGUGCCACCAUGCCAGAACAUUCCCAUCUUUAUUACCCCUACUUUCAUGAUGAGGAAUCUGAGGUUCAGUGAGGUAAAGGGUCUUGGUCUGUGUCUUAGUUUGUUUCCUGUUGCUAAUAGACACAAUACAACAGACUAGGCAAAUAAUUAACAGAAGAGGUUUAUAUGUCAGGUGUGGUGGGCAGUGCCUGUAAUUCCAGUGACUAAUAGGCUGAGGCAGGAGGAUCACAAGUUCAAGGCCAGUCUGGGCAACUUAGGGAGACCUUAAGCAACUUAGCAAGAGCCUGUCCCAAAAUAAAAAUAUUUUAUUUUAUUUUAUUUAUAUUUUUUAAAGAGAGAGAGAAUUUUUUUUUUAAUAUUUAUUUUUCAGUUUUUGGCGGACACAACAUCUUUGUUUGUAUGUGGUGCUGAGGAUCGAACCCGGGCCGCACGCAUGCCAGGCGAGCGCGCUACCGCUUGAGCCACAUCUCCAGCCAAAAUAAAAAUAUUUUAAAAGGGCUGGGAUGCAGCUUGGUAGUAAAGCACCCCCAGGUUCAAUUGCCAGUACCACAAAGGGAGGAAAAAAGUUUACUUUGGCUCAUAGUUAUGGCAGAAGAUUUAGAGGCCACAUCUGGUGAUGGCCUUCUUGCUGGCAGAGUCCCCAGGAAGCAUGGGGCCUCACAUGGCAAGAGACAGGGACCUUGGCAGACACCUAGCCAAACUUUUUUUUUUUUUUUUUAAGCGCUGGGGAUUAAACCCAGGGCUUUGUGUAUGCAAGGCAGGCAAUCUGCCAAUCAAGCUAUAUCCCCAUCCCACAAACUCACUCUUGAGAUAACCCAUUUACCCAUUAACCCACGGAUCACAUGAGUCCCCAGACUCACAUGAGAUAUUCUUUGUAUGUGUGUGUGUGUGUGGUGCUGGGGAUGGAACCCAGGGCCUUGUGCAUGCAAGGCAAGCACUCUACUAACAGACCUAUGUCCCCAGCCCACAAGGUGAAGGAUGCUGUUACUUGCUACCACAGGAAUACAUCAGGCUGCUCCCUCUAGCAACAUAAUAACUUUAGAUAAAUUUUAAUAAUAUCUAUACCAGCAGUGAGACUGCUGCUUGCUGUGUGACCUUGGGCAUAGCACAUCUCUGAGCCUUACUUUCCUCUUUAUUAUAUCACAUCCAUCUGAAAUGACUUUGUUUCUUGUUGAUUACCUUCCUUCCCCAUUACAGUGUCACAUCCUUGAGAGCGGAGACUUUGUUUCUCUCAUCCGUCUUGAACCCAGCAUAGAGCAGGUGUUUAGUUAAACAUCUGGGGUGCAGUGGUGCACACCUGUGAUGCCAGCUACUUGGGAGCCUGAGGCAGGAGGGAUUGCAAGUUUGAAGACUUUUGUUGUUGAUGAUACUGGGAUUGAACUCAGGGACUUGUGCAUGGUAGGCAAGCACUCUACCACUGAACCACAUCCCCAGCCCAGAAUCAAAAGUUUGUGGGCAACUCAGCAAGACCAUCUCUCAAAGUAAAAUUUUUUUACAAAGGGCUGGGAUGUAGCUCAGUGGUAGAGCACCUGCCCAGAAUGCACAAGUCCCUGGGAUAGAUCACCAGCAUUGACAGGAAAAAAAAAAAGAAUGAAUAGGGCCAGGUGUGGUGGUGCACACCUAUAAUCCCAGCAUCUUGGGAGGCUGAGGCAGGAGGAUCCAGUGUUCAAAGCCAGCCUCAGUAAUUUAGCAAGGCCCUAAACAACUCAGUGAGAUCCUGUCUCUAAUGAAAUAUAAAAAGAGCAGGUAUGUGGCUUGGUGGUUAAGCACCCCUGGGUCCAGUCCCCUGUACCAAAAAAAAAAAAAUAAGAAGAAAUAAAGAAUGAGUAGGGAGAUUGAGCCCUGCAGGAGGCAUCUGGAGAGAUUGCUGGGAGGUUGGGAGGAGGCCAGUAGGCUGCUCAGAGCCUCAGGCAGAGCCAGGAACAGUGGGCCUUGGUGUUAGAAGCCUCUGAGGUCACUGCUCUCCCGCUCCCUUGUCCUGGGACCUCAGGCCGGUUUGAAGCCUCUGUGAUCGAGGAGCGGAGAAAGGGGGCCGAAGAGCUGCUUCGCUUCACCGUGCACAUCCCUGCACUCAACAACAGCCCCCAGCUCAAGGAGUUCUUCCGGGUAUGUGCACCUGCCCUUCCUACCACCCCAGCACCUGGAAAGCUUACCUGCCCACCAAGCUACACUCCCUCUGUUGGUCUUUCUGCAGGGUGGGGAGGUGACACGGCCCUGCGAAGUGUCCAGAGACCUGCACAUUCUACCACCCCCUCUGAUCCCCACACCACCCCCUGAUGAGCCUCGGUUGCCCCAGCCACUUCCUGCAGAAAGGAGGGGCCUAGAGGAGUUGGAGGUGUCAGGUACAUGAGAAUGGGGGGAGGAAGCCAGAAUUGGGGGACAGGAAGGCAGGGCUCCACACUCCUAUCCCUACCUGUGAUCAUAGUGACAACCCUGUCGUGUCCCGUGCACCUGCUGAGGUCUUUGGAUAGGUCAUUUCCUGUCUUUAGUUUCAGUUUCUUAAUCUGUAAAAUGGGCACAGACCCUGAUGAUGGGCUUGUCUAGGCCUAUUGCUGCAAGGACUUACUGAGAGGAUCAUCCCAUUUUGAACUCUGGCGAGUGGUUUAUGUGCAGGUGUUAAUAUCCCAAUGGUCUGUCCUCAGCGGACCCCCCGCCGUCCAGCCCUGCCCAGGAGGCUCUGGAUCUUCUCUUCAACUGUGGCAGCACAGAGGAGGCAUCCGGCUCCCCUGCCCAGGGCCCUCUCUCUGAGGCUGAGCUUGCUCUCUUUGACCCCUUCUCCAAGGAAGGUAAGGAGCAGGGGCAGGCAGGGCAGGGGUUGCAGUAGCAGGUCCUUGGGGGCAAAAGAGGAGGCAGGACCACCAGCCAGCUGUUUGCAACUGUGUAAAUCUGAGCAAGUUGUCCCUGUACAGUGAGCAACCAUUGGGGAAGGAGAUGAGCCAUUUCUCCCUAUGAAAGCUUGGAAGAGCAGGGUCACAUUGCUCUGGAAGGUUUUAGCCUGUCCUGCAAGUCCAAGGUGGGGCUUCCUGGCUGGCUCAGGGUCCCCUGCAGAUCCUGGAGGUAGGAGAAGCCUGUCAGUGGGCUCAAAGAGCAGCAGCCAAGGGAAGCCACUGUGCCUUGGAGGCCACCAGAAGCAGAUGAGCUCCCCACAUGGGGCAGGGUCCUGAGCACUUUCCUGCUCUGAGACCAGGAACAUGAUAGUUCCCAACAGUGAGACACUGGGUUUUUCAUUCAGAAAUUCUCCAAGCUUCUGCUGUAACUGCAACCCAGGUGUUAAAGUGGUCAAUCUCACUUUGGGAUGAUCGUGAAACAGUUUCUCUUUUUAUUCCUUAGGAGUGUUUUUUUUUUUUUAAAUAUUUAUUUAUUUAUUUUAGUUUUUGGCGGACACAACAUCUUUGUUUGUAUGUGGUGCUGAGGAUCGAACCCGGGCCGCAGGCACACCAGGCGAGCGCGCUACCGCUUGAGCCACAUCCCUAGCCCCCCUUAGGAGUGUUUUUAAGCUGGUUUUGUUGGCCCUCCUUGUUUGCCCUUUGGUGGCCUUGAGGGCUGACCCCCCACCUUCUGAUGAGUUUCAGGCAUCUGAGGCCCAGCCUAGGAGAGGAAACAGCCUAGGCCAGCCUGUGUCAGCUCCCAUCUAGCUGUCAGCCUCACCUUCCCCCUGGCUCAGGCCAGUGGCCAGUGGCCAGUGGCCAGGCCAGCAAGUGACAAGGGUGUGAGGAGCUUGCUUUUGCUUGUUCUUCUUCCACACCUCCAAGGUUGGGGAAGGGGGAGAAUGGAUUGGGGGACAGAAGUGGUGGUAUCACCGGGGAUGUUGUACCAUCCUCUGAGUGGCAGGCACCCAGAUUCCCUGGCCCAGCUGAGCUCUCUAGGGUUCCUGGUGGAGGAUAGGACAGCCACUGGCAGUUGCUGUUUUUUUUUUUUCUUUUGGUACCAGGGAUUGAACCCAGGCGCUUUAAUACUGAGCCACAUCCCCAGCCCUUUUUAUAUUUUAUUUAGAGACAGGGUCUCACCAAGUUGUUUAAGGCCUAAGUUGUUGAGGCUGGCCUUAAACUUGUGAUCCUCCUGCCUCAGCCUCCUGAGAUGCUAGGAUUACAGGUGUGCGCCACCACACCCGGCUUGGCAGUUGCUUUGAAAGGCCCUUUACAGGUUGCACCCCUGAAACAUUUACUGUGUCCAUAGGAAAAUUCCCCAAUCCUUGUGUCCCUGUUGCUGAAGUGCAGUGUGCUCAGGCACUUCCUUCCCUCCUGCUCCCCAACAGUCGUGUAUGCCAGGAGCCAGCACCCCAUCUCUCUCUUUUUUUUGUUUAUUUAUUUAUUUAUUUAUUUAUUUAUAUUUUAGAUGUUGAUGAACCUUUAUUUUAUUUAUUUUUAUGUGGUGCUCAGGAUCGAGCCCAGUGCCUCACACUUGCUAGUCUGGCACUCUACCAUUGAGCCACAACCCCAGCCCCACCCCUGCCUCUCUUCUUCAGACACUAAGCUCCUGACCUCAAGUAUUUAGGGGCUCCACAAACUCUUGCACUCCCUGCUUCCUGAGCAACACAGGGAGGGCUCUAGGCCCAGCUGGGAGGGGCGACAUCCUCCUGCCUUCCUGCCACUCAUCUCUUCAUGGAUCUCCUGGGACUCCCCAUUUGGAUGGGGCCGGAGAAAUGCCCACUCGUGCGUUCCCUCUCCAGGACAGGAAUGCCAUGGUGCUCCCUGCUCCUGUACCUUCCUGUCAAAGGCCUCUUCUCAAAAGACUCACUGACUCUGUAGCCACCUCAUAUGAAAGCCACAGGGAGGAUCUCUGACCACCUCCAGGACGUCAUGAGCCCUUCAGCCUGGAACAUGAAGAUGCCAGUUGCCCACUGCCCCUCGCCCUGGGGUUCUCAGCUGAGAUUUCAAGAUCUUGAAAAAGUCCUGGCGAGGGCUGGGGUUGUGGCUCAGGGGUAGAGCACUCGCUUAGCAUGUGUGAAGCACUGGGUUUAGUUCUCAGCCCCACAUAAAAAUUAAUAAAUUUUUACAACUACAACUGAAAAAAAAAAAAAAGAAAAAAGAAAAAUCCCCGGAGGGUGUAGCUUGCCUAGCAUGUGCAAGACCCUGGGUUCGAUCCCCAGCACUGUCAAAAAAAAGAAGGACGGAAGGAAAGCAGCAUUUUCACCCUUAGCCUGAUAGCUGGUCUACCAUCCUGUAACUGAACUUGUGGAGAAACUUUUGCAUUCCUAGGCCAACCGGAGUCAGGAAAGAAAUAGGACCAGUGAGUGACCCAGAGCUCAAUAAGAAAAAAUUAGUGUAUACCUAAAGAAUUAGGAGGGUAGGACUCUUUUUGCUAUACUCAAGUGGCUUCUAGACUGUCCAGGCCCUGCACCCCUCCGCUGAGGACACACUGGUACCUAGAUGGGUCACAGAGGUUUCGGAGGGGUCAACAGUCCCUGGGAAAUGAAGGGCCAGUAAGGCUUGAAUGCUCUUUUUCUGAUUGCAGAAGGCGCAGGCCCCAGUCCCACCCACAUAGGUGAGCUGGCAGCCAUGGAAGUAGAGUCCACGAGGCUGAACCAGGAGCCCUGGGAGCCAGGAGGGCAGGAGGAAGAAGAGGACGGAGGAGGGCCUCGCCCUGCCUAUCUUAGCCAGGCCACAGAGCUCAUCACCCAGGCCCUGCGGGACGAGAAGGCAGGCGCCUACCCUGCUGCUCUCCAGGGCUACCGAGAUGGUGUGCACAUUCUGCUCCAGGGGGUGCCCAGUGAGUAGGGGCUGGAGGGUAGAGGGUCAGGCCUGGGGUCCUAGAUGGAGCAGUAAGGAGGGGAAAGUGAAAAGCAAGCAAGGACCAGGAGCCUUUCUCCUCACUGCCUGAUGACCAUGUCACUUUGAGAAGAUUAUUUUCCUUCCUCUUGGUGGCUUCAGUUUUCUUUUUAGUAGAAUGGGGAGGAGAGACAUGGUAAGUCCCAGGGAAGGGAGAAGGACACAUGAUGCUGCUCUGUGAACCGUAAGGGCUAGACCAGGGGUUCUGGGCUCAAGUACUCAGCUGAGCCAAUCUCUCCACAGGUGACCCGUCCCCUGCCCGCCGGGAAGGUGUGAAGAAGAAGGCAGCUGAGUACCUAAAGCGGGCUGAAGAGAUUCUACACCUGCACCUGUCUCAACUGCCGCCCUGAGGAGUGGGCCUUCCAUAGGACUCUAGCUCCAGCACUGCCAGCCUCCCCCUCUCCUUCCCCAGCAACCCCAGGGGCCAUUUCUGUACGUAACUGGACCAAGGAACACAAUGGCUCCCUGCCUGCCUGCCUUCUUGGAGUCAGGACUCUAUAUGUGCCAGUAUCUAUCAUGAUGUGGCAGCAGCAGGUCUCGUCAUUAAAACUUGUCAGUUUAGCCAUCUGGAACUGGGGUCUGCAGACUGCAGCCUACAGCCAGAUCUGGCUCAUCACCUACCUUUUUUUUAAGGCCCACAGGCUAGAAUGGUUGCUACAUCUUUUUAAUGGUGUGUGUGAUGGGGAAUCAAAUGAGUAAGAGUCUGUGACUAGUGAAAAUUAAAUGAGGGCUGAGGUUGUAACUCAGUGGUGGAGAGCUUACCUGGCACUUGUGAGGCACUGGGUUCGAUCCUCAGCACCACAUAAAAAUAAAGGUAUUGUGUCCAUCAACAACUAAAAGAAUUUAAAAAAUAAUAAUAAAAUGAAAGUUAAGUGUCUAUGAAUAAAAAUUGUUGGAACAUAACCAGGCUCAACCACAUCUAUGGCUGCAACCAGCAGAUUUGAGUAAGGCGACCAGCAAAUCCCAAAACAGUUUUUCUUUUUUCUCCAUCAUUCUGAGGAUUGAAACCCGGGUCUCAGGCUUUCUAAGCACACCCACUAGAUCUAUCUGUCUGUCUGUCUGUCUUUCUCUCUCUCUUUCUCUAAUGUUUUAGUUGUCAAUGGACCUUUAUUUAAUUUUUAUGCGGUGCUGAGUAUCAAACCCAGUGCCUCACACAUGGUAGGCAAGCGCUUUACUCCUGAGCCACAACCCCAAAACCCCUCUCCGCCUCUUUUCUGUUCUUUUGCGAGUGGGUCUAAGUUGCCCAGGUUGGCCUGGAACUUGUCCUCAUGCCUCAGCCUCCCUCCUCAGGACUGCAUCCUCGGACCGCUGCACCUAUCCCAAGACAUUUUCUACUUGACUCUUUGCAAAAAAAAAAAAAUAAUAAUUGCUGGGAGCCAUUAGCCAAGUAGGUAUGACAAUUUCCUUGCCAGCGUACCCCAUGUUGCUGACAUGUUGCAGUGACAUUAUAUGUAGGUGACCUUGCUCAAGGACCAAGGCAGAUUAGGGUGUUCCCGGUUUUAAGAUAAUCGUGUUUAGGGCGUUCCCAGUUUAGGUUCCAGGUUUAAGGUUUAAGAUUAUUCCUGCUGGGAAUAGGGCGUAUCCUGCUGCCUGAGUUCCCCUUGAGUUCUCACGGGAUUCAGACAGUAUAUUUUGGGAGAUAGAAGCCCAGUGGAGGGGGAUUUGGGCAGAGAACGUGGAUUUGGGAAGAGAACGUGGAUUUCCCCAGAACGUGAUUGUAGACGGCUGGUGUGAGUUCAGGAAUAAAGAGUUGCUGUUUGAAUCUACAAGCUGUGUGGUGGCUCGUGAUUGUGUGCCCAGCCAGACUGUGGCAUUUGUGCCCAGCCAGACUGCGGCAUUUGGCGUCCCGUGCGGGGAACUUCUGAAGCUUAGAGGUAAGUGAAAUUGCUCGCCCCUGAGGAAGAGCGAAAGAAUGGGUGACCAACUCAAAAAACAAUGUGUUAUUGUUUUGAUUUAUCUUGUUUUUGUUUCAAGCUGCCUAUCCCUAGAAAUUUCUCAGGCAAACUGGAAAAAAUGGUUGACUAAAGGUUUGAAGUUUGUCGGCCCUGAGGAAGAGAAAAUUGAUACAACGAUUUUUUAUUCCGUUUUUGUUUCAUUCAGUUUCGGCUUUGUUUUGUGCUAUCUUAUUGGGUUGCGUUAUCUUUAUAGUAGAUUAGAAAUUAGUAAAAAACAAACCGAAAAGAUGUUAAGUAAAUUGUUAGAGGUUCAGACCAUGGAGAAAGACAUUUUAGAUCAAGCAAAAGAGAAGGUCUCUCGAGCUAGUCAGACAGAGGAAGAAAAUUUAAAGGAAAAGGGGUUGUUAGGAAAAAGGCCACAACAGGAGGCUGUUACUAACUCCAUUUUAUCACAAGAGGGCGUAAUUCAACCAACAGCCCCACCGAUGGAGACAGCUGAGUGGCCCUCAAACCCCGUAGUUGAUAAAUGGGAUCCUGAGACAGGACCUCAAAGAUUAGCAUGCCCUGUACUUGAACAGGCAGGAGGGCAGCGAAUUCACCGUGCUUUAGAUUUUAAAACAGUGAAGCAGUUAAAGGAGGCUGUAACAACCUAUGGUCCCCAAGCUCCCUUCACGGUAAGCAUGGUUGAGUCCAUUACUAACUUGGACAUGACGCCAGCAGAUUGGGCUAGCAUGUGUAAAUCUGUACUAAAUGGAGGACAAUAUUUGUUAUGGAAGGUUGCCAAUGAGGAAUUUUGCACGGAGACAGCUAGGCGAAAUGCAGCAGCCGGUUACCCUCAAAGAAAUCUAGAUAUGUUGUUAGGAAAAGGACCUUAUGAGGGUCAACGGCAACAAAUUGAAUAUGAUCCUGCUAUAUAUGCACAAAUUGCUGCAGACGCAGUUAGGGCAUGGAAGACUUUACAAGGACAUGGAGAUUUACAAGGUCAGCUAUCUAAGGUAAUACAGAGAGCUAAUGAACCUUACGCUGACUUUGUAGAUAGGCUAAUUCAAACGGCUGCCAAAAUUUUUGGGGAUACAGAACAAGCAAUGCCAUUAAUAAAACAACUGGCUUAUGACCAAGCAAAUCGUUGCUGCAGAGAGGUUAUUAGACCAUGGAGACAUGAAGAUUUAAACACAUAUAUUAAAUUAUGUAGAGAUAUUAAUGAACAAGGGCAAGUCUUGGCAGCUGCAGUACAACAGGCUUUAGAUGCCAGGCCAAAAACAUGCUAUGAUUGUGAACAAACAGGACAUUUUAAA